UACGGAGGGGGCUAGCGUUGUUCGGAAUUACUGGGCGUAAAGCGCACGUAGGCGGCUUUGUAAGUUAGAGGUGAAAGCCCGGAGCUCAACUCCGGAACUGCCUUUAAGACUGCAUCGCUUGAAUUGUGGAGAGGUAAGUGGAAUUCCGAGUGUAGAGGUGAAAUUCGUAGAUAUUCGGAAGAACACCAGUGGCGAAGGCGACUUACUGGACACAUAUUGACGCUGAGGUGCGAAAGCGUGGGGAGCAAACAGG
rnacentral:rRNA from 1 species